GAUGAACGCUGGCGGCGUGCUUAACACAUGCAAGUCGAACGGAAAGGCUCCUGCUUGCAGGGGUACUCGAGUGGCGAACGGGUGAGUAACACGUGGGUGAUCUGCCCUGCACUUCGGGAUAAGCCUGGGAAACUGGGUCUAAUACCGGAUAGGACGAUGGUUUGGAUGCCAUUGUGGAAAGUUUUUCGGUGUGGGAUGAGCUCGCGGCCUAUCAGCUUGUUGGUGGGGUAAUGGCCUACCAAGGCGUCGACGGGUAGCCGGCCUGGGAAGGUGUACGGCCAAAAUGGGAAUGAGGUACGGGCCAGGAUCCCAAGGGAGGGAAGCGGGGGGAAAAAUGGAAAAAGGGGGGAAGGCCGGAUGAAGGGACGCGGGGUGGGGAAGAAGGGCUUUGGGGUGGAAACUCCCUUCGGCAGGGAAGGAGGGGAAGUGAAGGUAACUGGAAAAAAAGCAACGGCUAAAUAAGUG
rnacentral:rRNA from 1 species